rnacentral:rRNA from 1 species
UGGGGAAUAUUGGACAAUGGGGGCAACCCUGAUCCAGCGAUGCCGCGUGUGUGAAGAAGGCCUGAGGGUUGUAAAGCACUUUUGUUGGGGAGGAGAGUUUAGGGGUUAAGAGCUACUAGACGAGACGUUACCCAAAGAAAAAGCACCGGCUAACUCCGUGCCAGCAGCCGCGGUAAUACGGAGGGUGCGAGCGUUAAUCGGAAUUACUGGGCGUAAAGGGUGCGUAGGUGGUUUAUUAAGUUAGCUGUGAAAUACCUGGGCUUAACCUAGGGGAGUCAGCUAAGACUGGUGGACUUGAGUAUAGGAGAGGGUAGUGGAAUUUCCGGUGUAGCGGUGAAAUGCGUAGAGAUCGGAAGGAACACCAGUGGCGAAGGCGGCUACCUGGCCAGAUACUGACACUGAGGCACGAAAGCGUGGGGAGCAAACAGGAUUAGAUACCCCGGUAGUCC